ACUCAGAGUUCCCACCGGGAAAAGAAGACUGGAUGAAUCUGGCCACCGCGUUUCUCCCGGAUUCACUUGCGAGCAGUCCACCUAUGGAGCCAUCUCCAUCUUGCUCCACCUCCAAUCCCUCGUAUUAAGUGGGAUCCGACCUCGGUGAUUAAGGUAACCUCUCCAAACCUUUGUACAUAUGCAUCUUGUUAAUAUCAUUUCAUGUUGCAUCUUUCUUGCUCUUCACUUCUCUUUUGCACUUUGAUAACACAAGGGACUGUGUUAUUUAAGUG
rnacentral:lncRNA from 1 species